UGUAGAGUUACAAAUUGUGAAGUUAGCUGAACUUCUCUGGAAAGAGAGGCCAUAGCGAGUGAUAGCCUCGUAAGCGAAAAUUUCACAGCUCGAGCAUUUGUUCCUAAGUACUGCGGGGAAUGAAAGCCCUGUAGGAAGCUUCCAAUACUACUUGGAAAGGCUAAAUACUAAUCCAUGACCGAUAGUGAACUAGUACCGUGAGGGAAAGGUGAAAAGCAGCCCGGCGAGGGCGAUGAAAUAAACCUGAAACCAUAUACUUACAAGGAAUCGGAGCCUGCGCAUAGCACAGAAUAUCUAAUUUCAAAUUUUCAAUUCUUAAAUAAUUUCUAAUUUUCUAAUUUUUAAAAACUCAGAAUCAAAUUUUGAGUUUUGGAAAUUUAGUCAUUGGAUUUUGUUUGGAAAUUAAAAAUUAAGAAUUGGAAAUUCCGCGCUGUGUGUGGGUGACGGUGUGCCUCUUGGAGAAUGAGCCAACGACUUUAUGUAUGUCGCUUGUCUAAUCCGCCUUGGCGGAGUAGGCGCAGGGAAACCGAGUCUGAAUAGGGCGAACGCGCAUAGCACAGAAUGUCUAAUUUUAAAUGUUUAAUUCUUAAAUAAUUUUUAAUUUCUUAAUUUUUGAAAAUUCAGAAUCAAGUUUUGAUUUUUAGAAAUUUAGUCAGCGAGAUUUAUUUGGAAAUUAGGAUUUGGAAAUUGGGAAUUCCGCGCUGUGCGCGGUAGGCGGCAUGUAUAAGACCCGAAGCCGGAGCGAGCUACCUAUGACCAGGAUGAAUUUCACCGAAAGGUGAAAGGAGGUCCGAACCCGUUAGUCGUGCAAUGCUAUGGGAUGAGUUGUGGGUAGAAGUGAAAAGCUAAUCGAGCCCGGUGAUAGCUGGUUCUCCCCGAAAUAGUUUUCGGACUAGCCUCGUUUUUAUAGAUGAUUGGGGGUAGAGCACUGGAUGGUUUUGCCUGGCGCAAGCUAGCAACACCAAUCAAACUCCGAAUACCGAUCAUUGUUGAACGGGAGUCAGACUGUGGGGGCUAAGCUUCAUAGUCAAAAGGAGAAGAGUCCUAAUCGCCAUUUAAGGUCCCAAAAUGCAAGCUAAGUGUACAAGGUUGUGAGAUUUCUCAAACAGCAAGGAGGUUGGCUUAGAAGCAGCCAUCCUUUAAAGAGUGCGUAACAGCUCACUUGUCGAGAGAUCUUGCGCCGGAAAUGUUCGGGGCUAAGCUUGCUACCGAAAAUGCGAAUGUGCGGACAUCACAUUGCAUGUGAUGUCGCGAGUUAAAAGUCCAAAGUUAAAAGUUUAAAGUGAAUUCAGAAAUGCAUUUAACUUUAUACUUGCGGAUAUCGCGUGUAGCGUGAUGUCCGUACGUGGUAGGGGAGCGUUUGUAUCUGCAGUGAAGGUCGACCCGCGAGGGCGGCUGGAGCGAUACGAAGUGAGAAUGUUGGCAUAAGUAACCGCAAGACAGGUUAAAUUCCUGUCCGCCGUAAACCUAAGGUUUCCUUGGCAAUGACAAUCAGCCAAGGGUUAGGCAACCCUAAGGCAAUCCCGAGAGGGGCAGCCGAUGGAUAGCCGGUUAAUAUUCCGGCCCUUUGUUAAUAUUUGAUGGGAGGUCGUAACACAGUAAGCUGAGCAUCUUAUUGGAUUGAUGUUCCUGGCUUAAGGAUGCUUUCUUGGCAAAUCCGGAAAGCUUUCGCAGCAAUGCGAAAAAUCUAAGAGCAGGGAAAAUUUUGGAGCAAUCUGAAAAAUUCAGCCGAGCGCGUUACCAAGAAAUUCUCUCUAAAAUUAGUAUUAACGAAUCUGUACCGUAAACCGACACAGGUAGGUGAGGCGAGUAGCCUCAGGCGAAUGGGUGAGUGAUCCUCAAGGAACUAGGCAAAAAAGCUACCCGUAAGUUUGCAAGAUGGGUUCCCUAUUGCCGUACCUCACUGCGUUUGGUAUGGAAUGUUUAAUUUUAGAUUUCUAAUUUUUUAAAAUUCAAAAAUUUUUAUUUUUGGUUUUGAAAUUUAAUCAUUGAGAUUUAUUUGGAAAUUAGAAAUUGAAAAUUGGAAAUUCCGUCCGAGCAUAGCGAGGUGCGGCGAUAGGGCGCAGCUAAAGAUAUCUGGGGACUGUUUAU
rnacentral:rRNA from 1 species